rnacentral:rRNA from 1 species
AGCGAACGCUGGCGGCGGGCUUAGGCACGCAAGUCGAGCGAGAACCGUAGCAAUACGGGGACAGCGGCGAAAGGGACAGUAAUGUGUAGGUACCUACCCCCGGGUUCGGGAUAGCUGCGGGAAACUGCAGGUAAUACCGAAUAAUGUCUCCGGACCAAAGGUGUGAUUCCACCUGGGGAGGGGCCUGCAUCCUAUUAGCUUGUUGGUGGGGUAACGGCCUACCAAGGCGACGAUGGGUAGCGGGUGUGAGAGCAUGACCCGCGUCAUUGGGACUGAGACACUGCCCAGACACCUACGGGUGGCUGCAGUCGGGAAUCUUCGGCAAUGGGCGCAAGCCUGACCGAGCGACGCCGCGUGCGGGAUGAAGGCCUUCGGGUUGUAAACCGCUGUCGUAGAGGAGGAAAUGCAGGGGGGUUCUCCCCUUUGCUUGACCUAUUCUAGGAGGAAGAACGGGCUAAGUUCGUGCCAGCCGCCGCGGUAA